GGGGUGGCUUUGGGGUCUGCGUGGGCACCCCUAUGGGGUCAGGGCUCCCCCCCAUGGGGUCAGGGCACACCUAUGGGGUCGGGGCUGUGGGGCCGCGCACCUUGUCCCCGUGGGCUCCCCCCUAUGGGGUCGGGGCACACCUAUGGGGUCGGGGCUCCCCCCCCAUGGGAUCAGGGCACCCCUAUGGGGUCAGGUCUCCCCCCCUAUGGGGUCGGGGCUCCCCCCUAUGGGGUCAUGGCUCCCCUAUGGGGUCGGGGCUGUGGGGCCAUGCACCUUGUCCCCAUGGGGCACCCCAAUGGGAUCGGGGCUCCGCCCCCAUAGGAUCAGGGCUCCCCUAUGUGGUCAGGGCUCCCCCCCCUAUGGGGUCAUGGCUCCCCUAUGGGAUCAGGGCUCCCCUAUGGGGUCAUGGCUCCCCCCCUACGGGGUCGUGCCUCCCCUACGGGGUCAGGGCUCCCCUACGGGGUCAGGGCUCCCCCCCCAUGGGGUCAUGGCUCCCCCAUGGGGUCAUGGCUCCCCCAUGGGGUCAUGGCUCCCCCAUGGGGUCAUGGCUCCCCUGUGGGAUCAGGGCUCCCCCCCCAUAGGAUCAGGGCACCCCUAUGGGGUCGUGGCUCCCCUAUGGGGUCGUGGCUCCCCUAUGGGGUCGUGGCUCCCCUAUGGGGUCAGGGCUCCCCUGUGGGAUCAGGGCUCCCCCCCCAUAGGAUCAUGGCUCCCCUAUGGGGUCAUGGCUCCCCUAUGGGGUCAUGGCUCCCCCAUAGGAUCAGGGCUCCCUCCCCAUGGGGUCAUGGCUCCCUCCCCUACGGGAUCAUGGCUCCCCUAUGGGGUCAUGGCUCCCCUACGGGGUCGGGGCUCCCCUAUGGGGUCGGGGCUGUGGGGCCGCACACCUUGUCCCCAUGGGACACCCCAAUGGGAUCAGGGCUCUCCCCCCAUAGGAUCAGGGCUCCCCUAUGGGAUCAUGGCACCCCCAUGGGGUCAUGGCUCCCUCCCCAUGGGGUCAUGGCUCCCCUAUGGGGUCGUGGCUCCCCCCUAUGGG
rnacentral:lncRNA from 1 species